AUUCAACGGCCGCGGUAUUCUAACCGUGCAAAGGUAGCGUAAUCAUUUGUCUUCCAAAUAAAGACCAGUAUGAACGGCUAAAUGAGGAUAAGACUGUCUCCUAUGACCCAUCAGUAAAACUGAUCUUCCAGUCCAAAAGCUGGAAUAACCACAUAAGACGAGAAGACCCUGUGGAGCUUUAAGCCCCCUACUAAUAAACAAAAAUUUUACUAGUACAAGGCUUUAAGUUGGGGCGACUUCGGAACAAAACAAAACUUCCGAGCAAAGAACCACCAAUUCUAACCAAGGCUAACAGGCCAAAGCACAAAUCUGACCCAGUCUAACUGACCCACGAACCAAGUUACCCCAGGGAUAACAGCGCUAUCUUCUUCAAGAGUCCAUAUCGACAAGAAGGUUUACGACCUCGAUGUUGGAUCAGGACACCCAAAUGGUGCAGCCGCUAUUAAAGGUUCGUUUGUU
rnacentral:rRNA from 1 species